AUGGUGAAGUGGUGGUGGAAGCUAGAAACUCAAACUGGGAUUUGGCAUGAUCUGGUGAGAGUGAGGUAUCUAUCUAACAAGUCGGUGGCGACUGUGACACCUAGACAAUCAGAUUCCCCGUGUUGGAAAGCUCUUCUGAAGAUCAGAGAGUUGUACAUGGUGGGGAGGAGAAUCAAACUGGGUCGUGGUGACUUAACCAGGGUGUGGAAAGAUUCUAUAAAUGGACUUCCGCCACUGAAUUUGAAGUUCCCUCAGCUGUUUGAGAUCUGUACAGAUCAAGACUGUGUGGUGGAAAAAGUUGGUAGGGUAAAUGUUUCGACCUUCUUUCGUCGACGCCUAUGCCUUAACUUGGGUAGUCAAUGGGAUGACAUGCGCAGACAUGUUAUGGGGCUAAAUACCACAGCUGAGAAGGAUGCGGUAUAUUGGGGUUUGAGCAAGAAUGCCUGUUACUCUACUAAGUCGAUGUACAAGUGGCUGGAAAAGCCUCUACAUGGGUGCAAUUACAGGUGGAUCUGGGAGGCGAAAUUACCUCUCAAGAUCCAGAUAUUCCUAUGGCAAAUGGCGCAAGAUGCAGUCCUUACGAGGGCUGUGAUGCGAAGAAAAAAAUGGCCCGGAAAUCCGGUGUGCUCCUUCUGUAAUAAUGUGGAAACAAUAUCCCAUCUUUUCUUUUCUUGCCCUGUGGAGAGAGUGGCCUGGAGGGCAAUUGGAGUAGUCCUGGGGACUGAACUCUGCCCAAAUAAUGCCUGGCAAUUUUAUGUAUGGUGCAAUAUGUUCCUGCCUAAUGGUGUCAGGUUUUAUACUGUC
rnacentral:rRNA from 1 species